AUUCGUUCACUCCUAAUGGAGCGCAGUCCGAGCUAUACCAUGGAACGGGGGAUAGC
rfam:Marine metagenome 1095351006091, whole genome shotgun sequence.